rnacentral:rRNA from 1 species
CCUACGGGUGGCAGCAGUGGGGAAUAUUGCACAAUGGGCGAAAGCCUGAUGCAGCAACGCCGCGUGAAGGAAGAAGGGUUUCGGCUCGUAAACUUCUAUCAACAGGGACGAAAGAAAUGACGGUACCUGCAUACGGAGCCCCGGCUAACUACGGGCCAGCAGCCGCGGAAUACGGAGGGGGCAAGCGUUAUCCGGAAUUCCUGGGUGUAAAGGGUGAGUUGGGGGCAUGGGAAGCCCGAUGUGAAAGCCUUGGGCUGAACACGAGGAUUGCAUUUGAAACUAUCAAGCUAGAGAACUGGAGAGGAAAGCGGAAUGCGUAGUGUAGCGGUGAAAUGCGUAGAUAUUAGGAAGAACACCGGUGGCGAAGGCGGCUUUCUGG